rnacentral:rRNA from 1 species
CUCGUAGGUGGUUUGUCGCGUUGUUCGUGGAAACUCACAGCUUAACUGUGGGCGUGCGGGCGAUACGGGCAGACUAGAGUACUGCAGGGGAGACUGGAAUUCCUGGUGUAGCGGUGGAAUGCGCAGAUAUCAGGAGGAACACCGAUGGCGAAGGCAGGUCACUGGGCCAUUACUGACGCUGAGGAGCGAAAGCAUGGGGAGCGAACA